UGAGGAGGUGGCACAUGUCCUGCUCUCCCCCAAAACCAAGAAUUGAUGGGAAAGUUCAGGCCCAGCUCUGAGCACAUCCAGCAUGGCCUGGGCAUGGGAAUAGUGGGGCAAAACCAACAGGAGCCUUCUCCAGCUGACGGGCAGUUUCUGGUUUCUCUCCCCAGAGUGCCAAAAUCUGAUCGGGUGGUGUUUAUCCAUGCACCCCUUGGCCAGACCCUCAUUAGAAGAGGUGUUCAGUCAUCCUUGGAUGCAGGAUAUUCCUCUGCCCUAGAAGAAGGGAGAAAGCCACAGGCACACUUUGAUCCAGGGCCCUGGGAAGGAGAAGGAGCCCCUGGAGAAGGUGUACCAGGUGGGACUGCUGCUGCAGGAGACAGCGAGGAUGACAUGAAGGAUGACAACCUCUUCCUCAACCUGGCCACCAGCAGUUGAAGAGGAAGCAUUCUAGGUGGUCCAGUCUGGAUUGGGAAGUGCUUGGGACCAGCUGCAGCGUGGAUGGGCCGUGCCCUUGGAGCAGGCUGAGGACAUCGUUUGGGACCAGCUUUUCUUCCAGCCGUGGAUGGCGUGAGGUGGGUGCCCGUCUGCUUGGCAGGGUGGGAUCAGAGCUUUUGGGAGAUGGCAGCGAGCACAGGAGCAUCCUGCUCUGGGCAGCUGCUGAGGGCUGGAUGUGCCAUGGCUGGCUGCAGGCUGGGCACAUGUCCUGCCCUCCUGCCCUGCUCCCAA